CAGUCGAACGGACUCAUACUGAAACCUAGUGAUCUAUGAGUUAGUGGCGGACGGGUGAGUAACGCGUGGAUAACCUGCCGUAUACCGGGGGAUAACACUUAGAAAUAGGUGCUAAUACCGCAUGAGCGCACAGCUCCGCAUGGAGCGGUGUGAAAAACUCCGGUGGUAUACGAUGGAUCCGCGUCUGAUUAGCCAGUUGGCGGGGUAACGGCCCACCAAAGCGACGAUCAGUAGCCGGCCUGAGAGGGUGAACGGCCACAUUGGGACUGAGACACGGCCCAGACUCCUACGGGAGGCAGCAGUGGGGAAUAUUGCACAAUGGGGGAAACCCUGAUGCAGCGACGCCGCGUGAGUGAAGAAGUAUCUCGGUAUGUAAAGCUCUAUCAGCAGGAAAGAUAAUGACGGUACCUGACUAAGAAGCCCCGGCUAACUACGUGCCAGCAGCCGCGGUAAUACGUAGGGGGCAAGCGUUAUCCGGAUUUACUGGGUGUAAAGGGAGCGUAGACGGCAGCGCAAGUCUGGAGUGAAAUGCCGGGGCCCAACCCCGGAACUGCUUUGGAAACUGUGCGGCUCGAGUGCGGGAGAGGUAGGCGGAAUUCCUAGUGUAGCGGUGAAAUGCGUAGAUAUUAGGAGGAACACCAGUGGCGAAGGCGGCUUACUGGACCGUAACUGACGUUGAGGCUCGAAAGCGUGNGGAGCAAACAGGAUUAGAUACCCUNGUAGUCCACGCCGUAAACGAUGAUUACUAGGUGUCGGGGG
rnacentral:rRNA from 1 species